rnacentral:rRNA from 1 species
UUGGAGGGCAAGUCUGGUGCCAGCAGCCGCGGUAAUUCCAGCUCCAAUAGCGUAUAUUAAAGUUGCUGCAGUUAAAAAGCUCGUAGUUGAAUUUCGGGACCAUCAUGUUGGUCGUGCCUCGGCACGUACUGGCAUUGUUGGUUUCUCCCUUCUGACGAACCAUGAUGUCAUUUAUUUGGUGUUGUGGGGAAUCAGGACUGUUACUUUGAAAAAAUUAGAGUGUUUAAAGCAGGCUCACGCUUGGAUACAUUAGCAUGGAAUAAUGAAAUAGGACGUUUGAUUCUAUUUUGUUGGUUUCUAGGAUCGACGUAAUGAUUAAUAGGGACAGUUGGGGGCAUUAGUAUUCAAUUGUCAGAGGUGAAAUUCUUGGAUUUAUUGAAGACUAACUACUGCGAAAGCAUUUGCCAAGGAUGUUUUCAUUAAUCAAGAACGAAAGUUAGGGGAUCGAAGACGAUCAGAUACCGUCGAAGUCUUAACCAUAAACUAUGCCGACUAGGGAUCGGAUGAUGUUAAUUUUUUAAUGACUCAUUCGGCGCCUUACGGGAAAC